UGCAAGUCGAACGGCAGCACAGAGAGAGCUUGCUCUCUGGGUGGCGAGUGGCGGACGGGUGACGAAUACAUCGGAAUCUACUUUUUCGUGGGGGAUAACGUAGGGAAACUUACGCUAAUACCGCAUACGACCUACGGGUGAAAGCAGGGGACCUUCGGGCCUUGCGCGAUUGAAUGAGCCGAUGUCGGAUUAGCUAGUUGGCGGGGUAAAGGCCCACCAACGCCACGAUCCGUAGCUGGUCUGAGAGGAUGAUCAGCCACGCUGGAACUGAGACACGGUCCAGACUCCUACGGGAGGCAGCAGUGGGGAAUAUUGGACAAUGGGCGCAAGCCUGAUCCAGCCAUACCGCGUGGGUGAAGAAGGCCUUCGGGUUGGAAAGCCCUUUUGUUGGGAAACAAAUCCAGCCGGCUGGUACCUGGUUGGGAUGACGGUACCCAAAGAAUAAGCACCGGCUAACUUCCGCGCCAGCAGCCGCGGUAAUACGAAGGGUGCAAGCGUUACUCGGAAUUACU
rnacentral:rRNA from 1 species